GAGGAAUAUUGGUCAAUGGGCGAGAGCCUGAACCAGCCAAGUAGCGUGCAGGAUGACGGCCCUAUGGGUUGUAAACUGCUUUUAUGUGGGGAUAAAGUGCGUGACGUGUCAUGCAUUGCAGGUACCACAUGAAUAAGGACCGGCUAAUUCCGUGCCAGCAGCCGCGGUAAUACGGAAGGUCCGGGCGUUAUCCGGAUUUAUUGGGUUUAAAGGGAGCGUAGGCUGUCUAUUAAGCGUGUUGUGAAAUUUACCGGCUCAACCGGUAGCUUGCAGCGCGAACUGGUCGACUUGAGUAUGCAGGAAGUAGGCGGAAUUCAUGGUGUAGCGGUGAAAUGCUUAGAUAUCAUGACGAACUCCGAUUGCGCAGGCAGCUUACUGUAGCAUAACUGACGCUGAUGUUCGAAAGUGCGGGUAUCAAACAGGAUUAGAUACCCUGGUAGUCCGCACGGUAAACGAUGGAUGCUCGCUAUUCGUCCUAUUUGGAUGAGUGGCCAAGUGAAAACAUUAAGCAUCCCACCUGGGGAGUACGCCGGCAACGGUG
rnacentral:rRNA from 1 species